GUGGUGGCUCAGUGGUAGAGCGCUUGCCUAGCACAUGCGAGGCCCUGGGUUCAAUCCUCAGCACCACA
rnacentral:tRNA from 1 species